rnacentral:rRNA from 1 species
AUACGUAGGGGGCAAGCGUUAUCCGGAAUCACUGGGCGUAAUGGGAGCGUAGGUGGUUUGGUAAGUCAGAUGUGAAAGCCCGGGGCUCAACCCCGGGACUGCAUUUGAAACUAUCAAACUAGAGUGCAGGAGAGGUAAGUGGAAUUCCUAGUGUAGCGGUGAAAUGCGUAGAUAUUAGGAGGAACACCAGUGGCGAAGGCGGCUUACUGGACUGUAACUGACACUGAGGCUCGAAAGCGUGGGGAGCAAACAGGAUUAGAUACCCUGGUAGUCCACGCCGUAAACGAUGAACACUAGGUGUUGGGGAGCAAAAGCUCCUCGGUGCCGUCGCAAACGCAUUAAGUAUUCCACCUGGGGAGUACGUUCGCAAGAAUGAA